rnacentral:tRNA from 1 species
GGCAAGAUGGCCGAGUGGUUAAGGCGACGCAGUACUUUUGUUGCGUUCUCGAAAGAGGCGUGGGUUCGAGUCCCACUCUUGUCA